GAGAGUAUAGCUCAGUGGUAUAGUGCAUGUCUGGCGUGCAUGAGGUCCUGGGUUUGAUCCCCAGAACCUCCA
rnacentral:tRNA from 1 species